rnacentral:rRNA from 1 species
AUGGGGAUGGGGCUCUGCAUGCACCACAAGGCUCUUGGAAGGAUAUUUGAACUUAGAUGCUUGCACAUUCCUUUUCACGACCGCACACCAUUCGAAGAACUUGUCACAAUGGUAGAAGAUGUUUUGAGGGCAGAGCAUUCCACUUCUCCUAAUAAGCCCAUCUAUCUAUUGGGGAAUUCCUUUGGAGGAUGCUUAGCUCUUGCAGUUGCUGGUCGCAAUCCCCGUAUUGAUUUGAUACUGGUACUAGUCAAUCCAGCUACUUCAUUUGAGAGGUCAGACAUAAAAAAGCUUCUGUCAGUUUUCAGCUCGAACAACGCCUAUAUUGCAAUUACAGCUCUACUGAACUACAACAUCGGUAAGUACCUUGUAGGGUCCAGCAUAUAA